rnacentral:rRNA from 1 species
CCCUUAGAUGUUCUGGGCCGCACGCGCGCUACACUGAUGCGUUCAACAAGUUUCCUUGGCCGAGAGGCCUGGGCAAUCUUCUUAAUAUGUAUCGUGAUAGGGAUAGAUUAUUGCAAUUAUUAAUCUUGAACGAGGAACUCCUAGUAAACGCAGAUCAUCAAUCUGCAUUGAUUACGUCCCUGCCCUUUGUACACACCGCCCGUCGCACCUACCGAUUGGAUGUUCCGGUGAAGCCUCGGGAUGAGGACUGGUGCCUUUAUUGGCAUGAGUUGUUCAGAACUUGUCUAAACCUUAUCAUCUAGAGGAAGGUGAAGUCGUAACA